rnacentral:rRNA from 1 species
AGUCGAACGAUGAUGCCCAGCUUGCUGGGUUGAUUAGUGGCGAACGGGUGAGUAACACGUGAGUAACCUGCCCUUGACUUCGGGAUAACUCCGGGAAACCGGGGCUAAUACCGGAUAUGAGCCGUCCUCGCAUGGGGGUGGUUGGAAAGUUUUUCGGUCAGGGAUGGGCUCGCGGCCUAUCAGCUUGUUGGUGGGGUGAUGGCCUACCAAGGCGACGACGGGUAGCCGGCCUGAGAGGGCGACCGGCCACACUGGGACUGAGACACGGCCCAGACUCCUACGGGAGGCAGCAGUGGGGAAUAUUGCACAAUGGGCGAAAGCCUGAUGCAGCGACGCCGCGUGAGGGAUGACGGCCUUCGGGUUGUAAACCUCUUUCAGCAGGGAAGAAGCGCAAGUGACGGUACCUGCAGAAGAAGCGCCGGCUAACUACGUGCCAGCAGCCGCGGUAAUACGUAGGGCGCAAGCGUUGUCCGGAAUUAUUGGGCGUAAAGAGCUCGUAGGCGGUUUGUCGCGUCUGGUGUGAAAACUCGAGGCUCAACCUCGAGCUUGCAUCGGGUACGGGCAGACUAGAGUGCGGUAGGGGAGACUGGAAUUCCUGGUGUAGCGGUGGAAUGCGCAGAUAUCAGGAGGAACACCGAUGGCGAAGGCAGGUCUCUGGGCCGCAACUGACGCUGAGGAGCGAAAGCAUGGGGAGCGAACAGGAUUAGAUACCCUGGUAGUCCAUGCCGUAAACGUUGGGCACUAGGUGUGGGGCUCAUUCCACGAGUUCCGUGCCGCAGCAAACGCAUUAAGUGCCCCGCCUGGGGAGUACGGCCGC